rnacentral:rRNA from 1 species
UACAGAGGGGGCAAGCGUUAUUCGGAAUUAUUGGGCGUAAAGGGCGCGUAGGCGGCCUGGCAAGUGGAUGGUGAAAUCCUCGGCUAACCUGAAGGAACUGCCAUCCAGACUGCUUGGCUUGAGAGCCGGGAGAGGUGAGUGGAAUUCCCAGUGUAGCGGUGAAAUGCGUAGAUAUUGGGAGGAACACCAGUGGCGAAGGCGGCUCACUGGACCGGUACUGACGCUG